CUUUCUUUGCUGGCGACCGGCGCACGGGUGAGUAACACGUAUCCAACCUGCCCUUUACUCGGGGAUAGCCUUUCGAAAGAAAGAUUAAUACCCGAUAGCAUAAUGAUUCCGCAUGGUUUCAUUAUUAAAGGAUUCCGGUAAAGGAUGGGGAUGCGUUCCAUUAGGUUGUUGGUGAGGUAACGGCUCACCAAGCCUUCGAUGGAUAGGGGUUCUGAGAGGAAGGUCCCCCAUAUUGGAACUGAGACACGGUCCAA
rnacentral:rRNA from 1 species